rnacentral:rRNA from 1 species
AUUGAACGCUGGCGGCAUGCCUUACACAUGCAAGUCGAACGGCAGCACGGGGCAACCUGGUGGCGAGUGGCGAACGGGUGAGUAAUGCAUCGGAACGUACCUUUCAGUGGGGGAUAACGUAGCGAAAGUUACGCUAAUACCGCAUAUUCUGUGAGCAGGAAAGCAGGGGAUCGCAAGACCUUGCGCUGAUUGAGCGGCCGAUGGCAGAUUAGCUAGUUGGUGAGGUAAAGGCUCACCAAGGCGACGAUCUGGAGCGGGUCUGAGAGGAUGAUCCGCCACACUGGAACUGAGACACGGUCCAGACUCCUACGGGAGGCAGCAGUGGGGAAUUUUGGACAAUGGGGGCAACCCUGAUCCAGCCAUGCCGCGUGAGUGAAGAAGGCCUUCGGGUUGUAAAGCUCUUUCGGCCGGGAAGAAAUCGCACGGGCUAAUACCCUGUGUGGAUGACGGUACCGGAAUAAGAAGCACCGGCUAACUACGUGCCAGCAGCCGCGGUAACAC